CCCUUAGAUGUUCUGGGCAGCACGCGCGCUACAAUGGUCUUCGCAAACGGAUGCAUUCUCGAAGGAGAAUGCCAAUCUUGGAAUCUAUGCCUUGGUCGGGACAGUUGCUUGCAAUUUUUCGACUCGAACCAGGAAUUCCUUGUAAUCGUGAUUCAUCACAUCACGAUGAAUACGUCCCUGCCCUUUGUACACACCGCCCGUCGCUCCUACCGAUCGAAGAGUUAGGUGAAUUGUUUUGAUCGAUAAGAUUUGACUAUGGUCAACUCUCGUUGUGAAAUUCUCUGAAUCUGACUGUUUAGAGGAAGGAAAAGUCGUAACA
rnacentral:rRNA from 1 species